CACUGCACGUCCAUCCCUGAUUUGGGUGUUUGCAUAUUUCUUAACGAAAUGCCUAGUUUGUAAGUCAUUUAUCUUUUUUCUGUUUUAGUUUCUUAGUUUUUUUAGGUGCUGACUGGCGGCGGAGUGAGUGGUCAGUGCAACCACUCACCACCAGGGGCGCUGGCGUCCCUGGUCACUAAAUCCAGUCCUGGAUAAAAAGCAAAGCGGACUACUAGUCCAAGUGCCCAACCCCCGCAUGGUAGACUCUUUUCUACUCUGUCCAACACUUCAUCCAGACCAUCCUCUGUCUCCUGUAAACUCCUACACGUAAUGCAUGCCAAUUUGCAUCCCGCAUGAAUGUGCCCAGGGUUUUCCCUGUGUCUAUGCAGGUUUUACCUGGGCCCAACCUAUCUCUAGUUAUAGUCUAGAUUUAAGAGUGAGGGGAGUUAGUCAUGGCGCCAAUCGCUGCCAUGGCUGGCCAAUCCCCUCCUAGCACAUGAUGCAUGCGACCCUCUCCUUGCAUGGCUAAUCCCAGCAUGACUAGGCGUAUAGGCUUCGGCCUGAGACGCACCUAGGUCCCUCCCUAACCCGGACCCCUCCAAAAUACACUUAGUUUUAGUUAGGUUAGGAAAAAAAAAAAACAAAAAAAAAAAAUUGUACGUUCAAAACAAACAUUGCAAUAUUGAUCAAAAAAUUGUUGACUAAUGUUAUUUUAUAUUUUUUUAAGAGUAAAACACAUGUACACAAAUAUUUCCUUGUUACUAAUUAUGAGAUUUUCAGGUAAGUUAUUGAGCUAUUUCUGUUUGAUUUGUUAGGAGAUUAGUUUUGUCCGUUUACAAGUUAACAUUGCUUGUGUUAUUCUUGGCAAGUAAUCAUUUCUUAUAUAAAUUUUUGUACACUAUAGGCUUAUCUUUUUAAAUUUUAGGUAGCACAACGUAUAAAAUCAUAAGAAAUGUUUUCUGGUGGUCUGUAGCAGUUAACCGCAUUUAAGUAAAAAUAUUUUAAAAUAAUUGUUACCAGAGCUGAAUUACAUUGAGGCUUGUGGAGAACAGCUUUUUUUUAUCUACUCUUUGGCUGGCCAAUGUAAAUAAGCAAUGAUUUUGUGAAUGCAGCGAGAGAGUUUUUUUGAUGUAUUUUAAAAUCACUGAUAAUAUUUAUUGAUGUAUUUUAAAAUCACUGAUAAUAUUUAUUGAUGUAUUUUAAAAUCACUGAUAAUAUUUGUUUUGUGGCUGGAAGAUGGUAACCAUGGUGACUUGUGAAUUUUUAUGAAGAUUAAUAAAAAGCAGUAAAAAUUA